GUUAAUGCACAUUUUCUUCUUCUUUUUUUUAUUUUUAAUUUCAUUCUUCAUCAUUUUUAAAAAA
rnacentral:ribozyme from 11 species